CCGCAGCCACGGUAAUACAGAGGGUGCGAGCGUUAAUCGGAUUUACUGGGCGUAAAGCGUGCGUAGGCGGCUUCUUAAGUCGGAUGUGAAAUCCCUGAGCUUAACUUAGGAAUUGCAUUCGAUACUGGGAAGCUAGAGUAUGGGAGAGGAUGGUAGAAUUCCAGGUGUAGCGGUGAAAUGCGUAGAGAUCUGGAGGAAUACCGAUGGCGAAGGCAGCCAUCUGGCCUAAUACUGACGCUGAGGUACGAAAGCAUGGGGAGCAAACAGGAUUAGAUACCCCAGUAGUCCCUGUCUCUUAUAC
rnacentral:rRNA from 1 species